rnacentral:ncRNA from 1 species
CCCGUGGUUCAGCCCACGGUAGCCUAGGGGUAGGGCAUGUCCGGUAACGGAUUUGUCUGAAGCACCCUGACAAUGUACCCACCCGCAAGGGUUAGCGUGUUCCCGCGAGGGGCGCGUUAGAUUCUGCCAGCAUCAGGUGGAUGAGGG